UACAGAGGUCCCAAGCGUUGUUCGGAUUCACUGGGCGUAAAGGGUGCGCAGGUGGGCUGGUAAGUUCGAUGUGAAAGCCCCGGGCUUAACCCGGGAAAGGCAUUGGAUACUACUGGUCUGGAGGAUUGGAGGGGGGACUGGAAUUCUUGGUGUGAGCAGUGAAAUGCGUAGAUAUCAAGAGGAACACCAGUGGCGAAGGCGAGUCCCUGGACAAUACCUGCACUGAGGCACGAAAGCCAAGGGAGCAAACAGG
rnacentral:rRNA from 1 species